GGACCCCUGUGAUGUCCAGCACUGGGCUCUGACCACCCUGAGGACAUGGUGCCCCCAGGGAUCUUGAGGGGUCC